GUGUCAGCAGCCGCGGUAAUACAGAGGUCUCAAGCGUUGUUCGGAAUCACUGGGCGUAAAGGGUGCGUAGGCGGCGCGGAAAGUCAGAUGUGAAAUCCGGAGGCUCAACCUCCGAAUUGCAUCCGAUACUUCCGUGCUAGAGAGUUGUAGAGGGGCUUGGAAUUCUCGGUGUAGCAGUGAAAUGCGUAGAUAUCGAGAAGAACGCUCGCAGCGAAGGCGAAGCCCUGGGCAACAUCUGACGCUGAGGCACGAAGGCUAGGGGAGCAAACGGGAUUAGAUACCCCGGUAGUCC
rnacentral:rRNA from 1 species